GCCUCCUUGGCUCAGUUGGCUAGAGCGCCAGUCUCAUACUCUGCGUAUGACCGUCGAUGAACGGGCAAUCUGGAGGUCGCAAGUUCGAGCCUUGCAGGGGGCA